rnacentral:ncRNA from 1 species
GAUGACGUCAAAUCAUCAUGCCCCUUAUGACCUGGGCUACACACGUGCUACAAUGGAUGGUACAAAGGGCUGCAAGACCGCGAGGUCAAGCCAAUCCCAUAAAACCAUUCUCAGUUCGGAUUGCAGGCUGCAACUCGCCUGCAUGAAGCCGGAAUCGCUAGUAAUCGCGGAUCAGCAUGCCGCGGUGAAUACGUUCCCGGGCCUUGUACACACCGCCCGUCACACCACGAGAGUUUGUAACACCCGAAGUCGGUGGGGUAACCGUAAGGAGCCAGCCGCCUAAGGUGGGACAGAUGAUUGGGGUGAAGUCGUAACAAGGUAGCCGUAUCGGAAGGUGCGGCUGGAUCACCUCCUUU